rnacentral:rRNA from 1 species
UAGGGAAUCUUCCACAAUGGGCGCAAGCCUGAUGGAGCAACACCGCGUGAGUGAAGAAGGGUUUCGGCUCGUAAAGCUCUGUUGUUAGAGAAGAACGUGCGUGAGAGCAACUGUUCACGCAGUGACGGUAUCUAACCAGAUAGUCACGGCUAACUACGUGCCAG